AAGCGAAUGGCGGAUGCCUUGGGAUAUUGAUGCGAUGAAGGACGUGGCGUGCCUGCGAUAAGCAUCGGGGAGGUGGCUAGCAACCUUUGAUCCGGUGAUUUCCGAAUGAGGAAACUCAAUAUGAUUAAUCUCAUAUUAUCUGUCCAGCUUUUUGUACUUUAAAAAUUUAAAGUUUAAAAAGUUGGACAGAAGCGUACCCGGCGAAGUGAAACAUCUCAGUAGCCGGAGGAAAAGAGAACAAAGUUAUCCCCUUAGUAGUGGCGAGCGAACAGGGGGAAGCCUAAACAGAAUCUUUAGAUUCUGGGUUGUAAGGUUGUAGCGUCAGGAGCACUACCUUUUGCUUCGCAAAAGGAAUUAAAAAUUUAAAAUUUUAAAUUUAAAAUUUUUCGCGCGGAGCGCGAGGUAAUGCUUGCUGAGAGAGAAUACAAAAUAAUAGUGUUAAAAGAAGCACCCUGGAAAGGGGCGCCAUAGAGGGUAAUAGCCCCGUAUUCUAAAAUACUUAUUAUGCUCUUUGCUAUGAUUCUUGAGUACUGUCGGGAAUGAUAACCUGGCAGGAAGCAGGCCGAACUAUCGGCCAAGGCUAAAUAAUCAAUAUCACCGAUAGUGAACCAGUACCGUGAGGGAAAGGUGAAAAGUAGGGGGGUGACCCCGGUGAAAUAGUACCUGAAACCAUUUGCUUACAAAGAGUCGGAGCCCCGCCUUUGGCGGGGUGACGGCGUGCUUUUUGCAGAACGAGCCAACGAGUCUGGAUAUAUAAUUGUCUAAGCCCUUUUGGGGCGGAGGCAUAGCGAAAGCGAGUGUUAAAAGCGCGAAUUAUAAUUGUAUAUUCAGGACCCGAAGCGUGACGAGCUUGCCAUGAGCAGGAUGAAUCCCGCCGAAAGGCGGGAGGAGGUCCGAACUAGUGAGGCGUGCAAUCCUCUUGGAUGAUUUGUGGCAAGGAGUGAAAAGCUAAUCGAGUUACGUAAUAGCUGGUUCUUCCCGAAACAGCUUUAGGGCUGGCGUCUAUUAACAGCACACGGGGGUAGAGCACUGAAUAGAAUUCCUUGGAGUUUCUCCAGGUUCUCUAAUCAAACUCCGAAUACCGUGUGUUUUGGAUAGGCAGUUAGACUGCGGGGGCUAAGCUCCGUGGUCAAAAAGGAAACAGCCUAGAUCAUCGUCUAAGGUCCCUAAAUUAGACUAAGUGUUUUUAAGGAAGUAUUUUGCCCUAGACAGGCAGGAAGUUAGCUUAGAGGUAGCUAUCUUUUAAAGAGUGUGUAACAACUCACUGCCCAAAGUCUUUCCUUUGGAAAGGCAGGGGCGAGAUGCGCCAAAGAUUAUCGGGACUAAAGUCUAAUACCGAAGACAUGGAUUACUGCUCCUCACUUUUGUUCGGAGCUCAUCAACGAAUAACGAAUCAAUACGAAUGUACGAAUUAGUAAAUUCGUAACAAAUUCGUAAUUCGAUGAUGAAGCGACGAGCAGUAGCGAGGAGCGGUAGUGGUAGGGAAGCAUUCUGAGGGCACUGAAGCCGAAGUGUAAACGACGGUGGAGCGCUCAGAAGAGAGAAUGUUGGCCUGAGUAACCGCAUUGCAGGUGAAAGCCCUGCACACCGAAAGUCCAAGGUUUCCUUGGCAAUGGUAUUCAACCAAGGGUUAGGCGGUCCUAAGGCAAACCCGAAAGGGGCAGCUGAUGGACAGUCGGUUAAUAUUCCGACCCUCGGAUACAUUUUGAUAGAAAGACGCAUUACAGUAGUUUCAGCGGAUUAUUGGAUUUCACGCUCUUGCACUAAGGUAAAUCAAGGUGCGAGAAAAGCCCCGCCUUUGGCGGGACAAUUGAGAUGAGCGCGAUGCCCAGAAAAAAGCUAUCAAGCUAAUUGUAUUCGAACCGUACCGCAAACCGACACAGGUGGACAAGCGUAAGUAUGCUAAGGUGAACGGGUGAAACCUCGUUAAGGAACUCGGCAAACAAGUGGCCGUAAGUUCGCAAUAUGGCCUUCCCUCCACCGCAAGGUGGUCGGGAUGCAACAAACGUACUUCAAGCGACUGUUUAUCAAAAACACAGCUCCCUGCUAACUCGUAAGAGGAUGUAUAGGGGGUGAGGCCUGACCAGUGUUGGAAUGUUAAGUUUGGGGGUCUGAGCCGUAAGGUUCAGGCUCACUGAAUGAAGCACCAAUGAACGUCGGCGAUAACUAUAAGAUGACGAUUGUAGUUAUAAAACUUCGCUAUAUGCUGGAAACUCUGUAGUAUCUGAUGCUACUAUGUUAUAAUAUAUUAAAGGUGUAUUUACCCCUUUGAUAUUAUGCAAAGUAAAAAAGCAUUCAGUGCAGACAAUCAGCAGGAAAGAAUAGAAAUAUGUGGAUGGAUUACUGGGUUUGUAGAUGGAGAAGGGUCUUUUCUUGUAAAUAUAUUUCAAUCUCCAAGAGCAAAAAAUAAAUGGCAAGUUUUUCCUGAAUUUAAUGUUUCACAAUCAUUAAAAGGAAAAGAUUUGCUUCAUAAAUUAGAAAAAUUUUUUGCUUGCGGACAUAUAUACGCGCACAACGCGAGAAAUAUAAAACAAGGAAAAUGGGACCCUCUCUAUAAAUAUUGCGUCAGAAAUAGAAGCGAAUUGCAAGAAAAAAUUAUUCCUUUUUUCAAAAAUUAUAAAUGUUUUGGCAAAGCCAAAAUAAAUGAUUUUGAAAGAUUUGUUAAAGUUAUUGAAAUGAUGGAUAAGGGAGAACACUUAACAAAAAAGGGAAUGAUAAAAAUUGCAAGAAUCGCAGAAAAAA
rnacentral:rRNA from 2 species